rnacentral:rRNA from 1 species
UACAGAGGGUGCAAGCGUUAAUCGGAAUUACUGGGCGUAAAGCGUGCGUAGUCGGUUAUCUAAGUCGGGUGUGAAAUCCCCGGGCUCAACCUGGGAAUUGCAUUCGAUACUGGAUAGCUAGAGUUCGGCAGAGGGAAGCGGAAUUUCGGGUGUAGCGGUGAAAUGCGUAGAUAUCCGAAGGAACAUCAGCGGCGAAAGCGGCUUCCUGGACCAGAACUGACGAUCAGGCACGAAAGCGUGGGGAGCAAACAGG